UACGUAGGGUGCAAGCGUUAAUCGGAAUUACUGGGCGUAAAGCGUGCGCAGGCGGUCUUGCAAGACAGGUGUGAAAUCCCCGGGCUUAACCUGGGAACUGCACUUGUGACUGCAAGGCUGGAGUACGGCAGAGGGGGAUGGGAAUUCCGCGUGUAGCAGUGAAAUGCGUAGAUAUGCGGAGGAACACCGAUGGCGAAGGCAAUCCCCUGGGCCUGUACUGACGCUCAUGCACGAAAGCGUGGGGAGCAAACAGG
rnacentral:rRNA from 1 species